rnacentral:rRNA from 1 species
UUAAAUUGAAGAGUUUGAUCAUGGCUCAGAUUGAACGCUGGCGGCAGGCUUAACACAUGCAAGUCGAACGGUAACGGGUUGAAAGCUUGCUUUCAAUGCUGACGAGUGGCGGACGGGUGAGUAAGGCUUGGGGAUCUGGCUUUUGGAGGGGGAUAACCAUUGGAAACGAUGGCUAAUACCGCAUAGUAUCGAGAGAUGAAAGGGGUGGGAAACCACUUGCCAAGGGAUGAACCCAAGUGAGAUUAGGUAGUUGGUGGGGUAAGGGCCUACCAAGCCGACGAUCUCUAGCUGGUCUGAGAGGAUGGCCAGCCACACUGGGACUGAGACACGGCCCAGACUCCUACGGGAGGCAGCAGUGGGGAAUAUUGCGCAAUGGGGGGAACCCUGACGCAGCCAUGCCGCGUGAAUGAAGAAGGCCUUCGGGUUGUAAAGUUCUUUCGGUGGUGAGGAAGGUUAGGAUGUUAAUAGCAUACUGAUUUGACGUUAGCCACAGAAGAAGCACCGGCUAACUCCGUGCCAGCAGCCGCGGUAAUACGGAGGGUGCGAGCGUUAAUCGGAAUAACUGGGCGUAAAGGGCACGCAGGCGGGACGUUAAGUGAGAUGUGAAAGCCCCGGGCUUAACCUGGGAAC